GAUUGACGCUUCCUGAUCUUCAUGGUGUUUUGAAUUGGGGACGUACAUGUUUGGAGCAAAGAUUUCCGACAAUUAUGGUUAUAAUACGACUUGAUACAUAGAAUCCAGUGUAUUGGAGGGAUUUACUACAAACAAGCAUGAAAAGACAAUAAUGUUAGUUAUGAAGGGCACCAUUUUGCUGCUGGCUCUUCAAGCGAAAAAGGCCACGUCGCCACUGGUAACAACUUCUGGAAGGUACGAAAAUUAAUUGCUAUAUGUAUGGACGUCGAAAUUUGAAUGCGCAUUGUAUGACAGAAUCAAGGCCAUCCGGGUGUUUUCUUAGUUUCUUUCCCUCUUCCUUUUUCUUUUACAUUCUUGAUAUUUCUGUGUUUUAGACGAUUUAAUUUUAUCUUUUAUGUGAUGUUUUGAAACAAUACUUGCAUACAACAAAAACACGGGGUUUGGUGUAUAAAAUCUUUCUUUGUCAGGCUCAAUAUCUAAAUAUGUGCUUUCUGUCAUAAUAUUGCUAUAGAGCAGCCUACGUGGUACCUUCUUCUUUUCCAAUGAUACAAAUUGUCCUAAUCAUUCAGUUUUUCCUUCCAAGCACAUCGGAGCGUUGAGAAAAUUGGGGGGGGGCCUAAAACCAAAUUAAAAGUGAGGCUAUAGCCCCUCCAGUCCCCGUGCCCCGCAGUGCCAGCUAGCAACAAAAGCACCUACAUGAUUGAGGCAUCGACCCAAAAAACUUGAUACAUAACCCGAGUUUGCAUCCCCCCUAGCUACAGGCUUACCAGUGAAUGAACAUAACGAACCCUCAGAGCUAGAAUACCACCGUCAGGGGGAGGGGCGGUGCCGGAAAUCGUUUGGGGGAAGAUCCCCAGAUUUUACCGACAAAAGUGGUGAUCUUGAGGUGUGACUGUUGGGAAUAAUACAACGUAGCCAAGCUGCUUCGAGAAAAUAUGGAGCCAUUCGAGUAUACAAGAAAACUUCUUAGGCAGGAAUAGGGUACAUAAAAUGGAUAGAUUUCGUCUUCAUUAUUAAUAAAUCUUCUAAAUUUAAGGCUUUAGACGUGGCAAGUGAAAACUUUAAGCUGUUUGCAGAAUUUUUUGAUUAACUACUAAAGUUAUAUAAUGGUCAAAUUGCUUGACUUGUGCCGCUUGCCAAGAAAAAUCAUCCCACACGUCUUUGCAUUUACGUUUGAUAGAAGGCUCAAAAUGAUUUACUGGAGGAUUUCAACUGAGCUGUAAAAAGUAAAGAAAAAAUUCAAUCUCGAUAUGUUAUUUAACUGUUUGAACUUACGGCUUAUUGUUGAUGCAAUAGUGUAACCAUAAAAUGUGAUGUACUGCAAUUCUCUACAAAAAAACAUACAAAUACCCAAUUACUUUACUAUUGUAUGCAUGGGAUUGCAAUAUAAAAAUAAUAACAACGGUUGAAUAAAGUAUUCAAAACAUAGGUUAACCUCUUAAGGAUCAUUUCUUUGGGCCCGUUCAAUUAUAUGUAACACAAGUCAUUACACGAAAACGCAAUGAGCUAACGGAAAUUUCCAAAGAAGAAGUUGACCAAAAACCAUUGAAAGAAAAUGCUAAAACCACUAUUCUUUUUCGCAGAAGUUUGAUUUUAAAACUUUAAGGAAAGUUUUCAUAACAACUUUUGUGUUUUCGUGCCCAGACACUUCAAAAUUAAACAUUUCAUAGACAUAAGGUAAGAAUAAUAUUUGGUAGAAUAAUAAAUUUUCUCUUUGAUAACCCAGAUUUGAAAAUUUGAGAUUGAUAACCCAGAAGUAAAGAUGAUACAAUCAAGCAAAAAUCCAAGUUAAUCAGCAUAUGAUCUGAAAAAUUGUCAAGUAUUGUUUACUGUUGGUAUUUUAUUUAAGAAAUAAUGAUAAAGAAAACGUAUGAACACGCUUAUCGGUGAGAGAAUGAUGUUUCGUUAAUAAAAAUCAAAGGCCCAAAAAUGAUUUAAAUUAAAUACAGGUGCGGGCUGGAUGAAAUAAUCCCUAAAAGAUAUUCAGCGCAAAAUUUGUUGGAAAAAUUUUGGGAUUGACGACGGCUAAACUUAGGGCACGCUGGGAACUGGUAGCGAGGCAGUCUCCUUUCAAGCAACCACGACUCUGAAUUGUUAAAUUACAUAAUUUUAGUGAUGCAGUAAUGGUUAUUGGGGAUGGGGCAAGGUUGGCAUGUACGCACCCUGUUUUUGAAUUCCAAAAAAUUCUGUUUUUAUUGAACAUAAUUUAUAGCAUUGUACAAGGUUCAAGUAGUUUGUGGAAACCUGCCCACCCUUAUAAUACUUCUCCAACUCCUUCUGUCAAAAUUAUGUUUAUCGCAAAACGCAACGUUGCGAGCUCAAAAAACGUCUUCUAAAAUUGAAUCCCUUCUUACGUGGUUACGCUGGAUACCAAUGUUGCAAACUGUUCACAAAACUAUAGGAAAAAAGUUACAAAAGCUUCUUGCUGCUUUCCUUUGAUGAGCAUUUUAGUUCAAGAAUAUUAUUUUAUAGGACCACGUAAGGCAUGUUGCAAGGAUUAAUCAUGACAAACAGACAGCCUGUUUUUUCCAUCGCAGUUAAAAUUUCUUCUACAGAGAAUAGAAGGGUUUGUGCGAUCACUUUGUAAAGCAUGUUGAACGAGGGGCUGAGACUAACAAUUGAAAGAUUUCUCAAUGCCUUCUAUUGAUUCAUAAUCUAAGAACCCUUCAUUGUAACCCCAAACUUUUCGUUAUAAAAAAUAUGAAAGUAGUUAUAGUCCAGGGGUGCCGUGGAGGAGGGUUCGUGAGGGUUCAGAGGCUCGAGAGGGCUAAGUCACCUUAACAAGCGAUCACAUGUUUGGUUGGACAUAAUAAAAAUACAAAUUUUCAUACAGAAUUAAACACUUCAUCGUUACUGCUGUAAUGUGCGUCUUGUCAAAACUACCAGAACCCUAUAUAAAGCCUAUAAGUAUGUACAAAAGAAUGUAUAGUUUAUUUUAAUAAAACCAUGUAUUACAUAUCUAAAAUAAGAAAGUGUAAGUAAAAUGUUGCUUAAGAAGCUGAUUAACACAGAAUUGACAAAUUCUGUGUUGACAAAUCUUUUAUUAUGCUAUAGAUUUACCGUGAAUGAGCAAUUUCCUAGCAGUAUUUUUGGGUUGGUGAAUAGUUUUGAUGAUUUCAUAUACGCAAAGGAGAACCUUUAACACAAAUUCAAGUUCAGUUUGCAAUAGUUUUGCGAGUAUAGUUUGGGUUGGGUCAUGGGCGGGUUUCUAGAGGUUGCUUGCAUCGCAUUUCCCAACUUUUUUGGACGGCCUCCCUUUUCAAGUCUUGGACAAAAUACCAAUUUCUAAAUAUCCUUGAUUUGAACUUACCAAGAAUAAGAAAAAGCACAAUUUCCCCCAAAAACCAAUGUUGGUUUCAUUGUGACAUAAUUUGGAGAUAUAUUGUAAAAAAGCAGCAAGUAUUUCCAUGGAAAUAUAGUUAACAUUGGAUUUUGGAGAGGGAAACUGUAUUUUCUUGUUAGAUAUCUCAAUUUUUGACCCAAAAACUAGAUAUUUAAUCAGCUUGAAUAGCGUGUUUCUGUAACGCGUUCUCUAGAAAGAAAUGUCCCCACUCGUUGUGUCAUUCCUUGCGCCUAACGAAUACGCAUUCUAGCUGAAAAAUAAUGAUUCUGCAGGAUUGAUGUGAAAUUCAGUCACAAGUCAUUCUUUGAUUUUGCAUUUCUUACAAAAACAAUACAGACUAAACAUUAAGACUAAACAUUAGGAGUUUUAUACCAUCAGCUAGAAAUAUCAAAAUUAGAAAAUGUGCUAGUGUAAGAAAACACAGCUCACAACAAGGGAAGAGAGAUCAAAUUUGUAUUACGAUAGGAUAACCUGUUUAAUUAUUAUGUUUGUUAUGAACUGGUAUGUUAUGUUGUUGAAAUUGGUUAUUUUGGAAACCCAUCCUGUACCGAUAGGCAAAUCGUGUUCGGGAUCCGAUCAUAUCAAAUCAAAUGCUAAAUGAAAAAGGGUUUCUGAAACAACAGUAUACAUAAUGAUGCAAAUAUAACUGAAUGACUAGAGUAAAGUCCAGUAGGUAAAUUAUUUGAUUACUGUUUGCUUCCAUUAUCUUAAAAGUUGGCUUGGUUUAACAGUUUUAAUUUUACCAAAGCUCUAUAGCAGUUCAUUUUUAAUGUGAGUUUCUGGGGAUACCAAUCAACUUUAUCUAAACUGCAAAUGGGUGGGUGGCAAAUGAAUUUCAGCAGCACUUGCUUAAGAUGUUAUAAUGUACAGAAAUGAGUGAUCGGCUUAGGGUGCAACACAAAUCGGCUUAGGGUAAAGACAACUUGAAUAUGAGAAAUACCGAAAUGUAUGCUUAGUAGAAUCAGAGAUUUGAAGCACAAUAAGUAUCAAAGCCUAAACAUGCAAUUACAAAAAUAUAAAGCUGUGAUUUUGAUACAAUUAAUUGUCUACAUCCAUAAUUUUAUAUCAACUAUCCAUAUAAACAUGCAUUUAGAUGCUUAUCAGAAAUCGCACAAAAAAACUUUCUAAGCUGAAGACUAAUGUAUCAAAAUAUUGGUGUAGCCCAUGCCUAUUUCAAUCAAAUCCUGCAAAUGGCUUUUGAGUUUCAAAAAUUGCCUAGAUGGGUUUAGCAUCUCAUAAAAAAAAACAAUUUGGAUGGUGCUAAACUGCACACUCCUUUUCUGGUAACACAAAUUAAUAAAUUUUUAAUGCAUCCCUUUUUCAACUUUUGUAAUAUAUUGGCUUGCGUAGAAAUUGAAAAGUAGUAAGGCUAGGCAGAGGAAUUCUGCUGAUCCAAGGAAUUUUAUUUCCAUUUUUCAGACCCUCCUGUUUUCUCCCUCCAUAUUUAUCAAAAGUUGCUGUCCAUCAAGACAGCUAGGGGAAGAUUUCACAUACCAUAUUCUAACCAGUGGCAUAAGAAGCAAUUCAGUGCCUCUUUGGAAAAAGUUUUUUCUACAGCUGAAAAAUUUUAGAAAAGGAGAGGAUGAUUGAGUCGUACUAAAAUUACAUUCAAAAUUGGAUGCUUUAGAUUUAUUUCGUGCUUUGAAAGGUUUAAACUGUAUCAUUAGCCAAACAGUGAAAGAUAUUGGAACUCAGGUUGCUAACGGUAUAAUGCAGGAAGAUAUUAAGAGUAAGCGUCGAUUUUGUUAAAUCUAAUAUCCCUAGGCCAAACUAGAAACCAAAGUCUUGGGAGACAAUUUUUUGUUGUAUAUUAUAUGAUCCAAAAGACUAGUUAGAUUUGCUUUUUUAAAGUUGUUUUCUUUGAUUUGACACCAAAUUUCUUGUAAAAACAACAUAAACAGUAUCUCAUUUGUGUAAUUAUUCUAAACUGUUAUUUAUUCUGUUUAUUCUGUUUUCAUUAUAUACAUAUAGAAGCAAGAGACAUUCGAAGGAAGGUAGCUGUAGUAUUCAGUUCUAGCCUGGUGGGUCUAAAUGAAAAGAAUGGGGGGAGACAUAUUCGGGAGCAUAAAUGGGGUGGUAUGACAUGAUAUCAAUAUAGCCUUUUCCACUGAAUUUUCAUUAAUUGUUAAUUACAAUCAUCUAUUCAAUCGAUAAUUUAAGAUGUGAUCUAAAUUUUCAUCAAUAUCUUUGGUAAAGAUUUUAUAGACUUCAACUAAAGUCUUGAUUCAAUUUGAAGAAAAAAAUGUACAGGAGCAGAAUUAGACUUGCUGCUUAAGAAUCCUUGGUAAGAUGCUUUUGCCAAAUCUAAAAUGCAGUCUCUUAUGUGGCACUUUCUCCAAAACAUUGAAUUUGUAGUAGUACCUCAGUGCUCUAGCCAUCUUUUCAUACGUCAUCUUCUUCCUUUUCUUUGACUGCCCCCACAGAUUAGCAAUAAACUCCGUUCUUAUAAGCUUGAAUUCUCCGACGUCUUUGCGAGUCCACGCUAUGUAUUUUGGGCUAUACUCGUCGUUGUUAAGCAAAUCUAGUAGGAACUCCCACAAAUGCAAACAGUGAUUUGCUGAAAUUCAAAUGCAUUGAAGAGAUUUAAAUAGGCAUGUUUAGACACACAGUGUUUAUCUUGUCCAUAGUUUCUAAUUUCGUGCAUUUGUUUAUUUUGGCCAUACGAUGAAGAACAAAUCCUUGGUUACCGUGAAACAUUUCGUAUUAAACUUAGGAGGUGUAUAGGAUAUGGCAGCAGACUAGAGCCCGGAGCUCAAGAAGGGCGUAGAGCCAGGGAACCUUCCUUUUCUGUUGGGGCAUUAGAGUGCAUUACACCCAAUCUAUUUUAUAAGGACCAGAUAUUCUUUACUGAGGUUCAAUGGUACUAUUUUUGGGUAAAUUGAAGCUCGGGUGUUUUCAAUAUUCUUAUUGAAACAUUGAUUAUUCUUUAACUACAUAAUAUAAAGACAUCUUGAUAACAGUUUUAAAUGACAUGAAUAAUAGCACGGUUUAUCAGCUGAUAAAAUCUGCUUUGUUUUGUUAAUACGAAAGAAAAGUUUUCAAGCACAUUGUCUUUCAACCAGUUUUUAAUCAGAGGCUGGGCAGGUCCUUACACUGUUCUUAUUUGUCAGAAUAUCAAGCCACAGUGUGCUUGUAAAUCCUGCUCUUAAAAAAGAGUGUACUGCAUGACUUGUUUCCCAACAGUCUUUUUAAGUAACAUUGAUCACGAGGUCUUAAAUCUCUAACUAUGUCACCAAAAACGAGAUAUCGAUAACCGGAUGAUAUCGAUAUCCCUAAUCAAAAUCUGGAAUUUACAAAAAACAGUUUUCCUUAUUCCAGUGCGAAACUGUGGGGAGGAAUAUCUUGGUAUAUAAGGAAUAACCACCAGUUUCUGAAUUUUUAGAGAAACUUAAGGACAAUUUGCUACCUUAGCCUUCACCCUUAAGCACGAUCCCUAGGAAGAGUAGCUGUUUACAAAGCAUUUUAUUGGCGGUAUGUUGCAAUUGCUUUCUUUGCAGUAUGUUUGAUAGAUAUGUUUACAAAUUAAAUAACUGAUUUGGAUUUGUGGGUGAAUGAAUCCUUUCUUGCGACUUUUGAGAGAAUUGUUUGAGAACUAUCUUGCUCUUUUUAUAGCAUUGCAGCCCUGGUGAAGGCAAAAUAUUCAUUAUUUGGGUGUUGCAAAUAGGCAAAGUUUAUAAGUACAAAGAAGAUACUGUUACAAGCAGCGUGAGCAUUUUGGCUUGGUCACGAAGGGGGCAGGGGAGAGAUUUGUUUCAAAGCCAAAGAAAUGGGUAAACCGAAAAAAAAUCUAGGUACAUUAUCCUAAACCCCGUAUUUCCACACCCUAAACAAAAGGCAAUCUGUCUCGUUGUGGAUUGGUUAACGAGAACAAUAGCUGGAACAAUAGCCUAAACACGAUUCCAGCGUUCCGCCAUAUUUUUUACAAUGCGAUAAAUUAAAGGGGAACUGGAAACAAUAAAAAAUCCCUUUGUUCUUAUAAUCAAUCAACGUCGUGACAGAUUGCCUUUAAUAUCCCUUGGCUACGAUGCCACAGCAUUCAAAUCGCCCAAACUCCAUUUCUGAAUCCGACACUCUGCCUUCAGCUAAAUUUAGCAAAUAUGGCAGCAGUAGAUCAAAUGUUUGCUGUGCCAUGCUGUAUCUUUAAGGGCAUUAUCAACAGCACCAGUCUGUUAAUCCUAUAUAUUUGGAGAAUGUUGUCCUUCUCUUUAACCUUGUUUUUCAACUCAGUUUAACGAAACUUGUUUCUAACGUGUGCGCAAAAUCGAAAUUAUUUGCGGCCUGCGCAGUGAAAUCAGAGAUAAAAACAAAUGUUAAUAUGAAAAAGUCUUUAAAUGAAGUAAAUUAGGAAACAUGUUUAUCACUUCAUAGUGAGGAAGGUAUACCGUAAAUCAUCGAACUAGCUCCCUGAGGGCUUAUUUAUUUUUGACAUUUUAGGAUGGGGGCUUAUUCGAGGGGGGGGGCUUAUAGAAUCAUUGUUGACAUUAAGAAGACAUUAUUAAAAGACCUCGUUUAUUUAAGUACAAAUUUCUUUAUGAGCAUUUAAUUAAUUACUACCAAAAGUAUGAAUUUGUUGUGGUAAUUCAAUAAAACGCCAUAGGCAACCUCAGAUGGCAAAAAUCAUCAAAUUGAGGAGUCCAAUUUGAGAAUUUACGGUAGCAGUGGGGGCUUAUUCCAGGAGGAGGGGCUUAUUGACAAUUUGUAGUUCUAGGGUGGGGGCUUAUUCGAGGGGGGGGAUUUUUCGAGGGGGGGGCAAUUCGAGGAUUUACGUUAUGCCCCUAUGACGUGUUUGAGUUAAACAAGCUCCAUCUUGCACCAAAGUCAAUGUUAUUGCAGCUUUAGCGUCAAUUUGAUGCAAUUCAACGUAGACAAGGUUCCAGCGUGUCGAGAAUAACAAAAUAUUAACAUGAUGGACAUUGAAUAGAAUUUCAGUGAAACUUAGAAUUUUCAGACUAACUGUUUACCAACCUUGAGAUGAUAAUUUUCAUGGUCAGCCUUCUCUACUCUUAGGAAUUUUGUUCAAGUUAAAGCAAAAAAAGUUACUGUUUCAAGGAUAAAGAUUGUGAAAUCUUAAAGGGGAAAAUUAUAUUUUUCCAACAUCAUGUUCCUUUCGCCAAUCUAUUGUAUUUUGCUAACCUAAAAACGUACAAAAGCACACAUGCUCUUAAUUAUUUGUUUAACAAUUUUUCUGAUUAGUAACAAGCAUCAAUUAUGCUAAAAAAUGUUGAAACUUUCAAACCUGCACGGACCACGCCUUCUAAAUUGAGAAGACUUUGGUUGUUCAGAUGCUUCUUUAUGAAAUAUUUGUAAAGACAGAAUAAAAGUUGGAAAACAUAACGAGAGCAACCGGGGUUUGGGUGUUUUAUGAACAUAUGCCCCCAGAUUAGGAAAGCAGGGUGUACCCACUAAACAAUAAAGUGUAUGAACUUGAAUUUUUUGACUUAAAUUUACUUACGUUGAGUUCUUGGCUUGUUUUUCAGGCCUUUCCUUGAAGAUUCUCGCGUGAAAAUUUCUGCACAAAAAGAGAACAAAUGAAAUAAAAGCAAUCGUCUGAGACAGAAGACAAACGUUGGAAGUGACGAAGAAAUGCAACCUGAUACAGCCAGUUUUGAUGACGAAAGCUUCAUCAAGAAUGAAGAACAGCUGUAGUAAAUGGAUGUCGGGUUAAGUAAUUAUGGAAAGUUCCUGAAGAAAUAACCACCUGUGCCUCCACAGCUGCUAUCGCUCUGUUGGCACAACGCAGCAACAUAAACAAACAACAAGAGACAAUCUGACGCGUGUGGCUUUCAUUCUCCCUUUACGAUGUAUGUUAUCUAGGGCACACAAUUGGAGAAAGGCAGGGACGCAUUGCCUUCUAAUUUAGGACCAAGCCAAAUUUGUUAACAUUCCAGAAAGUUUCUAAAGAUGGGGAUGUGGCAGGUCCUCUUGCUACAGUAUUUUCUCCAAUUAGCGGACAUCGUCGGGGCAAGAGCAAAGUAUCUGCUAAUUUGAAGUGUCAGCCUUUUGGAAAGUUUUGCUAUGUGAGUCCCAAAUUUGAAAAUAAACCCGAAUUUUGUAUCUAAAAGGUGUAAUCAGUGGUGGCGCCAGGGGAGGGCUAGCCCCCCUCCCCCCAAAUCGGUGGAAAUUUUAGAUUAUUGUCGGAGCAAAUUUGACAAAAUAACAUACGAAAACUGCGUAUUUUAAUCAUUUUAGUCCCCCUGUUGAAAGCUCAAAACCCUCUGUCGGAAGAUUUCUGACGCCACCUCUGGGUGUAAUCCGGGUAAUCAGUGGCUUUCGGGUUGAACUUAGACACUAAAAAAGAAAAAAUAACCAAACUAAACGUAACACAACUUUUUACAACAAGAAUACUACUCCAGAUUCUUUACGGAGAUAUUCACCAACUAGAUUGUCAGGUGUCAAAGAGUUUGAAAUAAAUAUUUCAACAAAUAUUCAUUCGUCUCAGUUUUUUGUUCGCUGACUCCUAACUUUUUUGUAUUGUCCGCUAAUUCGAAAAAAAAGCCAACUUGACUAUUUAAUGCAAAAAAUAUUGUCCGUUAAUUAGAAUGUCCGCUAAUUAAGUGUUCGCUUUUUAGAAAGUUUUUUAUGAGACUUUGACCAGAAAACGAUCGGGGAAAAAAUUUGUCCGCUAAUCAGAGUUGUCGGGCUUUUAGAGUGUCCGUUAAUUUGAGAGAAUACUGUAUACUUAAGGGGCGUGAAAUUUUUUCCCCGAUGCUUACAAUCGUGCUUAUAUGAGCGGGGCCUAAAUAUCUGUUUGAUACCACCAUUUGUUAAUUAUGUCAAAACUAAU